rnacentral:rRNA from 1 species
UACGUAGGGUGCAAGCGUUAAUCGGAAUUACUGGGCGUAAAGCGUGCGCAGGCGGCUUUGUAAGUCUGUCGUGAAAUCCCCGGGCUUAACCUGGGAAUGGCGAUGGAGACUGCAAGGCUAGAGUUUGGCAGAGGGGGGUAGAAUUCCACGUGUAGCAGUGAAAUGCGUAGAGAUGUGGAGGAACACCGAUGGCGAAGGCAGCCCCCUGGGUCAAAACUGACGCUCAUGCACGAAAGCGUGGGGAGCAAACAGG